CUACGGGUUGCUCCAGUGAGGAAUAUUGCACAAUGGGGGGAACCCUGAUGCAGCAACGCCGCGUGGAGGAUGACGCAUUUCGGUGUGUAAACUCCUUUUAUAUGUCAAGAAAAUGACGGUAGCAUAUGAAUAAGCAACGGCUAACUCCGUGCCAGCAGCCGCGGUAAUACGGAGGGUGCACAGCGUUACUCGGAAUCACUGGGCGUAAAGGACGCGUAGGCGGGUUGGAAAGUCAGGUGUGAAAUCCUACAGCUUAACUGUAGAACUGCACUUGAAACUUCUAAUCUAGAGUAUGGGAGGGGGAGAUGGAAUUAGUGGUGUAGGGGUAAAAUCCGUAGAUAUCACUAGGAAUACCUAAAGCGAAGGCGAUCUCCUGGAACAUUACUGACGCUAAGGCGUGAAAGCGUGGGGAGCAAACAGGAUUAAAUACCCGGGUAGUC
rnacentral:rRNA from 1 species